AGCUCUUCUUUUAUAAAGUACAACGCGAUGGUCAUGUGAGAGUAAUGGUAAAGACCAUUGAAGAAUACAGGAAACUUGUUAAAACCCUUACUACAGACCUUGUCAAAUUCCACACAUACCAGCUUAAACAAGAAAGGGCAUUCAGAGUCGUUAUUAAGAACUUGCACUUCUCUACGGAUAUCGAUUUAAUUAAACAAGAUGUACAGUCCAAAGGCCACACUAUAUUGAGCCCAACAAUAAGAACUUAGACAUUUACAAAGUUAAAUAUAUUGGUAACGCUGUUGUUAACAUAGAACCUCCCCGCAAAACUAAAGAGAUCGUUCAGUGCUAUCGAUGCCAGGAAUUUGGACACACAAAGUCAUAUUGUGCCAAAACUCACAGGUGCGUGAAAUGUUCUUCUAACCACCCCAGCAACAUUUGUCCAAAAGAUAAAGAGCAACCAGCAAAAUGUGCCAACUGCAAAGAAGAUCAUGCUGCUAGCUACAAAGGGUGCAAAGUCUAUCAGGAACUUAUAUCAAAAAAUUUGUAAGCGGACUCAACCACCUGAAAAACACCAAAGAUAACAAUAAUAAAAAUGACCUUGGUACAUCUCAA